rnacentral:rRNA from 1 species
GACGAACGCUGGCGGCGUGCUUAACACAUGCAAGUCGAACGGAAAGGCCUCUUUCGGGGGGUACUCGAGUGGCGAACGGGUGAGUAACACGUGAGUAACCUGCCCUUGACUUUGGGAUAACUUCAGGAAACUGGGGCUAAUACCGGAUAGGAGCUCCUGCUGCAUGGUGGGGGUUGGAAAGUUUCGGCGGUUGGGGAUGGACUCGCGGCUUAUCAGCUUGUUGGUGGGGUAGUGGCUUACCAAGGCUUUGACGGGUAGCCGGCCUGAGAGGGUGACCGGCCACAUUGGGACUGAGAUACGGCCCAGACUCCUACGGGAGGCAGCAGUGGGGAAUAUUGCACAAUGGGUGGAAGCCUGAUGCAGCAACGCCGUGGGCGGGAGGACGGCCUUCGGGUUGGAAACCGCUUUCGCUCAUGACGAAGCUUUGUGUGACGGUAGUGGGUAAAGAAGCACCGGCUAACUACGUG